rnacentral:tRNA from 1 species
GUAUACAUAUUAUAACUUAAUUAUACAUGUUUUGCAUUCAUGAGAUGGUUGUGUACGUAAGU